GUUGGGACCUAGACAUUGUUUGCAUAGGCUGUGCAAUGUGAAAUAACUAAAAUAAAAUAGGAUAAUAAGUAUGCUUAGUCAAUUUGUAAAGUGGUAUAAUAGAGGCAUCUGCAAUAAAUUAAGUGGGUUUCCAAGACCUGACAAGUGAGAGCAACUUAAUAUAACAUAUGUCUACAGUUUGCUGUCCCUUCCUUAUCAGAGGCCACUUGCAACACAGCAAGACAACUCUUCCUAAACUUGUAUUAAACAAAGCACUUUAGAACAAUAGUAAUUUAUUUUGUUUCUCCUAUUUCAUUCCUAGUUGUUCUGAAAAAAAAUAUAUUGUUUAAGUGGGAUAACUGUAUGGAGGUUCCAACAUGUAUUAAAACAUGAUCACACACAUCGGGAUCUAUAAAAGGUUUCGGUUUCCAAAGAUGUUAUCAGGGUCCACAAAAUUUUAUUAAAGUAAUUAAUUGAGAUUAUCAAAUCAAGGUUUAAGUUUAAGAACAGCAUUUUAUUGGGAAUUAUACCAAUAUGUAUAUGUUAGUGUUUUAGUACUCAACAAGCAUUUAUAUAGAAUGAGUGCUUCUCUCAUCCAUAC